rnacentral:rRNA from 1 species
CCUAUAGCGUAUAUUAAAGUUGUUGCAGUUAUAAAGCUCGUAGUUGAAUUUCGGGGUUAGUAGGUUGGUCAUGCCUCUGGUAUGUACUGGUCUCACUGAUUCCUCCUUCCUGAUGAGCCGUAAUGCCAUUAAUUUGGUGUUGCGGGGAAUUUGGACUGUUACUUUGAAAAAAUUAGAGUGUUUAAAGCAAGCUAACGCUUGAAUACAUUAGCAUGGAAUAAUGAAAUAGGACGUUCGAUCCUAUUUUGUUGGUUUCUAGGAUUGACGUAAUGAUUAAUAGGGAUAGUUGGGGGCAUUAGUAUUCAAUUGUCAGAGGUGAAAUUCUUGGAUUUAUUGAAGACUAACUACUGCGAAAGCAUUUGCCAAGGAUGUUUUCAUUAAUCAAGAACGAAAGUUAGGGGAUCGAAGACGAUCAGAUACCGUCGUAGUCUUAACCAUAAACUAUGCCGACUAGGGAUCGGAUGAUGUCAAUUUUUUAACGACUCAUUCGGCGCCUUACG